rnacentral:rRNA from 1 species
AGAGGUGGCAAGCGUUGUUCGGAUUUACUGGGCGUAAAGGGUGCGUAGGUGGUUUCGUGUGUCGGAUGUGAAAGCCCACUGCCCAACGGUGGAACUGCAUUCGAAACUGCGGAGCUAGAGUCCAGGAGGGGAGAGCGGAAUUCUUGGUGUAGCGGUGAAAUGCGUUGAUAUCAAGAAGAACACCGGUGGCGAAGGCGGCUCUCUGGAAUGGUACUGACACUGAGGCACGAAAGCUGGGGGGAGCAAACAGGAUUAGAUACCCUAAUAGUCCCAGCCGUAAACUGUGUGCACUUGGUGUGGGCGGUAUUGACCCCGCCCGUGCCGGAGCUAACGCGUUAAGUGCACCGCCUGGGGAGUACGGCCGCAAAGGCUA